rnacentral:lncRNA from 1 species
AAUGGGGGCAGGCUUUCCUUUUGCUCUACUCGUGAUAGACUUCUCACAAAAUCUGGCUGUUUGAACAUGUGUAGCACCUCCCCCAUUCUCUCUCUCUCUUUUGACAGCCGUGCAAAUACAUGCCUGCUUCCCCGUCACCAUCAUCUUAACAUCUGGCAUGAUGUUAAGUUUUCUGAGGCCUCCCCAGAAGCAAAACCUAUACAGCCUGAGGAACUGUGUUUCAAUUGAACCUGUUUUCUUUAUGAAUUACCCAGUCUCAGGAUCAUAGACAGAAGUGUCUUGCCUUGUCUCAGAUGAGACUUUGGACUGUGGACUUUUGAGUUAAUGCUGGAAUAAGUUAAGACUUUUGGGACUGGUGGGAAGGAAUGAUUGUGUUUUGAAAUAUGAAAAUGACACAAGAUUUGGGAGGGGCCAGGGGCAGAAUGAUAUGGCUUGUUUCUGUGUCCCCACCUAAAUCUCAUGUUGAAUCGUAUUCACCAGUGUUGGAGAUGGGAUCUGGCAGGAGGUCAUUGAAUCAUGAGACAAACUUCCCCUUUGCUGUUCUUAUGGUAUACUUCUCAUGAGAUCUAGUUAUUUGAAAGUGCACAGCACCUCCCCCUUCACUCUCUCUCUGUCUCUCUCCUGCCAGGCAUGUGAAGAUUUACCUGCUUUCCCUUCACCUUCUGGCAUAAUUGCAAGUUUCCUGAGGCCUCCCCAGAAGCAGAGCCCUGUACAACCCGUGGAACUGUGAAUCAAUUAAACCUCUUUUCUUUAUGAAUUACUCAGUCCUAGGUAUGUCUUUAUAGCAGUGUGAGAACAGACUAAUGCAAUGGCUUACACUACAGUACAGUGAAAAUUAAAUAAACAAAUAAUUAUAAUAAAACUCAGGCCAUAGUAGAAGUAAGUUGAACGCCUAGAGAGAGAAGGCUGUAAAUAUAUUUGUCUAAUAAUAUGAUUUGGCUCUGCCCCCACCCAGAUCUCAUCUUGAAUUAUAGCUCCCAUAAUACCCACAUGUUGUGGUAGGGACCCAGUGGCAGGUAAUUGAAUCAUGUGUGUUUUUCCUGUGCUGUUCUCGUGAUAGUUAAUAAAUCUCAUAAUAUCUGAUGGUUUUAUAAAGGGUAGUUCCCCUGCACACUCUUUUGCCUGAAACCAUGUAAAAUGUGCGUUUGCUCCUCCUUUGCCUUCCGCCAUGAUUGUAAGGCCUCCACAGCCAUAUAGAACUGUGAGUCCA